rnacentral:rRNA from 1 species
GACGAACGCUGGCGGCGUGCUUAACACAUGCAAGUCGAACGGUGAAGCGCCUUCCUUUUUGGAGGGUGUGGAUGAGUGGCGAACGGGUGAGUAACACGUGAGUAACCUGCCCCCUUCUUCUGGAUAACCGCAUGAAAGUGUGGCUAAUACGGGAUAUUCUGGGUCUGUCGCAUGAUGGGUCUGGGAAAGAUAUUGUUUCGGUGGGGGAUGGGCUCGCGGCCUUUCAGCUUGUUGGUGGGGUGAUGGCCUACCAAGGCGGUGACGGGUAGCCGGCCUGAGAGGGUGGACGGUCACACUGGGACUGAGGCACCGCCCAGACUCCUACGGGAGGCAACAGUGGGGAAUAGUGCACAAUGGGCGUAAGCCUGAUGCAGCGACGCCGCGUGAGGGAUGGAGUCCUUCGGGUUGUGAACCUCUUUCGCCAGUGAAGCAGGCCUGCCUCGUUUGUGGGUGGGUUGACGGUAGCUGGAUAAGAAGCGACGGCUAACUACGUG